rnacentral:lncRNA from 1 species
UUUUUUUUUUUGGGUCAAAGGUCAACUUCUAUGUAUAAAUCAUCUGCGUAUUCGUCACAGAUAUUUAUUAUGAACGGUGAAAAUCACGCCUGCAAGAUUUGACCAUGCGCUUCUGGAAACUUGCUUAUGCAUUGCGUACCAGCAGCUGCAUGCGUCCUCAGCACCUGGUUUUGUCAUCCCUCGUCUUUUCUUUUCUUUUCUUUGUAAAGUUAAAAGGAAAGGGAAUGGACGGUGCGAAUUACGAUUAGCAACAGUCAGUGAUGACCAGUUAGGACAUGCCAUUGCCCGGUGGAAUAUUUAAUGCUCCAUUAAGGCCACUUUAAUCAUCUCAACCUGCAGAGACUAAGGAAGCAAACGGGUCGAAAGCUUUGGCUAACCAAGCCAAACUCUAUCUAUUUCGUUUUUAUCAAAUUUGAACUGGCAAGCUCAAAAAAUAAUUUAAAGAAAAUAUUAGUAUAUUUUUUUUAAAAAAAAUAGAUAUUUCAUCUUAACAAAUAAUAAAAUUAUUAGAAAUGUACCUGUAAUUUCACUAUUAAUAAUAAAAACAUAUGCAUUUAUACAAGUCUAACGAGAGUCCAGACAAGUUGAGUAUCUUCGUAAUUGGCUCGAGGUUGACUCAAGCUUUUACCGAGCCAAUAAGCUACCAUGCAAGCAAGACUUGAUUCAUUUGCUGUGUCCUAAUCCGAACUGUUUUUAUUAAUUUUUACAAUACUAUAGUUGAGGCCUCGUAUUAUUGCUAAACCUGUCAUUACUUCGUAAUCAUGCAGAUUUAAUUACACUAACAUAACCAUUGGUAAGUGAUAACUGAAUGCGAAUGAAGAAUUUUCAAAAUACCAAACUUCUAAACUCAAAUGAUAUUGGAACUAGGAUCAGUCAACAACAUGAAACAAAAUAACUUCUGGCGAAAGAAAAGAAUUUAGUCUUUAAUAAUUUCAAAAGAGUAUUCAAAGAGAAAAAUGUACACUUACAAAUAUGAUAAUAUCUACAGUUUAGUUUUGCAUGUUUCACUUCUCGUGUCACUUUUUAUUAUAUUAUUAUUUCUCUUUUAUGAGCAUAAUAUUUUAGUUUUUUUUUUAAAUUUUUUAAAGAUCCAAUAACUAUUAACUGAGUAAAAAAUAAAUACACUGGUCUAAAAAAAGUAAUAUAUAAUAAAAAAUUAAAAAAAUACAUCAGAAAAUUCAUUAAAAAAAUCUCAUUUUUUUAUGCACUUUGAUAUUUGAAGUUUCUUAAAUUUUGUGCAUUAGUCAAUUAAUAGUUAUUGGAUUUUAAGAAAAUAAAAAGAACUAAAAUAUGAUAAUUAUGAAGCAAAAAUAGUAAUAUAACAAAAAGUGGGACAAAAAGCUGAAUAAAAGAUCCGUUGUGAGUUUAGGCAAGGAAACAACCUUUUAAACAAAAACAUUACCCAAAAAAAAAAAAAAAAGGGAGAGAGAUAUAGGUCUGGUCACAGCCUUAAUUGGAAUGUGGUUUUCUCCAACAAAAUUUUUACUUUUUUCCGUGAACACAUUUUUAAUCACCUUUUUACUUUAUAUAUAUCAAAAUACUAUAUAUAUAUAUAUAUAUUAACAAAAACUCCUAAAAGAAUAAAAAGUUCGGUGAUCCAGCACGUGGUUUUAGUUACAGUGAGCGGAGGUUUAGCGGUGCACGGUAUUACCAGUGACAGCCCGCUCGACGAAGCUAGCGGCCCAAUGGUCCAUCAUCAUCGAGCCACGUUUCUCUCAAUUUCCAUGGAUUUGUCAAGUGAGGACCACACCGAAUCGAAUUGUGACGACCGCAAGUGUGUUGGACAAUUGAUGUUUCCUCGUUACUUUCUUUCUUUUAUAUUCUUUUCUGCAACUCAUUUCAAUUCCAGUCCUUAAAUUCUAAAAUUCAUCAUCCAAUUACCAAGUAAAAUGCUAGCUAGAAUAAUUCAUCCCUGGCAUUUGAUACCUUUCAACGAAGAAAUCAGAAUUAAAUUACUAACCCUGGAUUUUGAUACCUGCUGACACGAAUCUGACCUUUUCACGGUUUGACUAAACGUUUUUUUGGAACCCUUAGAAUUUCAAGAAACUACUUUGAGGCCCCAUGAAUACUUAAGAUAUACCUACAUUUUGGUACCUGAGCUCUUAACCAAAUGAUACGAGAAAAUUUAUGGAUUCUUCUAUUAUGUGCUCAAUAUAAAUACAAGACAAAUCGUCUAGGGAGAAGUAUAAUCGUAUGUGUAUCUAAUAAUCCAUUUUUGAUGUGUUUAUCGAGUGCCGACUCGAGGAAAUAGGAAAUACCAUUUGACCAACUCCACUAAAAUAUUUUGUUCGGGAAUUUAUUCUAAUGAUACAAUGCACAUACAUUUUAAGAGUUUUUAUUUCUUUUAAAAAAAAACUCGUAGAAUAAAUGUGCCCUUUGUGUAGUCAAAAUCCGAUAGGGGCGAGAAUUUGGCUUGCAAAUAAGAAGCAGCAGAGAAGGGGGCUUGUCCCCUGUUUCACCUCCGAUGUUUAAAUUAAUAAGACAGCUCAGGAAAAAGUAAUAGAGAGCGAGAGAGGGCAUUGUUUUGUUACCUCAAAUAGGAGAGAAUCUAGGGAUGGUAUUUUUUUCUUCGUUAUAAUAGAAUUCUUAUAACCUAAGUUAGCUUAUUUUAGGAAGGAGGGGGAGGGGACUUGAUGUGAGUAGAAACUCCAUCGAAACUGGUCAAUGAAUACCGUCACAUAUUGUAACAAAUUUUGUGGGAGGCAAGAUUCGAACCCUUAACCUCCCGCAUCACCAAAUUUAAGAAGGCUUGGGAUGACCCCCGGACCAAAGGCCCAGUGCCACCAACUUUAAUUGUAUCUGAAAAAGUGAAUUUAACACGAUCACUUGGUAGCUAUCUGCAAUCCUAUGCCACCGCCUCCCUACUUUGUCAGGUGUCAAGGUGUUAAUAUGGGUCAAAUCAGUGAGCCCCUUCUCAGAGCAAAAGGUCUAGACGACCUUAGGAAGAACAUCUCAGAAAAUCGAAACCCAGCCCAAAAUCACGAUCCGGGUUUGUCUAGGGUUCUUUAAGAUGAUAAAGAUUCCCCAAGUGCAAGGUAAAUAUUUUGUAAGAUGAUUAAAAGAUUCCCCAAUUGACCUUGAACUACAAUUGCUCAAUUUCUUUUGGGAAGUGAUAUUUGCACUCUUCAAUUAGUCUCGGGCACUCUUUCAAGGCCGUAUUUUUAGCGAGUGAAUUGGAGUGCUAGACGUACUCUAAGAAUGCUAUAUUUUUAACGAGUGAAUUGGAGUGCUAGAGGCUAAAUGAAAAGUGCAAAAAUGAAUUUCCUUUCUUUUUCUUACUCGUUAUUAGUAAUAUGUUUUCUUGGCUAGGAUUCUUACUCAUUGGCUUAUUUUCUUGUGGUACCUUUUCUUCCUCUCACAAGAGUUCAUGCCGUUCUGACAUGCUUGACAAAUGUUGAUAACCAUUAGAAUGCCACAUUUCUGUGCUCAAUUGUUGAUACAAAAGCUUGUUCCUGCCUUGUUUCUUCUACGAAAGAAACCUGCAAGUCUGUAACUCGAGUACCUACUCAUAGCUGGAAACCUCUCAAUCAUUCACGGGCCAGAAUUUGAAAAAUUAAGAGAAGAAAGAAUAAAGGCGGGGGAAUAGGAAUUUUCAGUGAAACGUAAGUAGUAAAAGUUGCUUUGUCUAUUAGCACAUUACAAAGUAGUCUGUUUCCACACCCACACUGAUCAAAUGGGAAAGAGCGAACUGUAAAUGGAAGUCAGCAACAUCACAAAGCAGAAAUGCUCAUUUUGUUUAGCCACUAAUGAGAAUAUAAAUAGCUCCAAGUUUAUUCAUAGUUAUUGCCAUAGGCAUACAGCAUUAUGAGGAAUGGUUGUAUCCUUAGUGUCAAAGGGCGCCUUUUGUAUAUAGUAUACCUGAGCCUUCGCUCACUUAAGUGUAAAGUUUAUUCAAAUUAAUACAAAUUCUAACGUUUCAGGGAAAAAAAGAAAAAACGGAAGCCAGCAACAAACCUGAUAAGCAUGGUAAUUUUACUAAAAUACCUGAUUAGACCAUCUCCACUGGAAUAUCAAAGUCUGCUUCAUACCAUGAAACAAUUCCCGAAUUUUCCACGAUAAUCUUAAGAAGAAAAUUGCUGAACCCUUUUUUCAGCUAAGGCUCAAAAUGCCUCAAAGCUUUGCAAGUAUACUUGCAAGUAACAAAAACCAAGACUAGUUCAAUCAGAUCUUAAAAUACUUCAAGGUAGAUAACAUAUUCACAUAAUUCCAGUUUACUUCCUAGAAACAGGAUAUACAAUGAUCACACUAAAGUACCCAGCAAUGAUGCGCCAAGAUACACUAAUAUAACUUCUUUCCAGAGGACUUCUUUGGAGCUAUGGUAGUUCUGCAACAGUCAUACUCGUUUUGGUGCGACGUAUGGCACCCGUUCAUCUUCACACAGUGUCUG